UACGUAGGGGGCUAGCGUUGUCCGGAUUUAUUGGGCGUAAAGAGCGUGUAGGCGGCCAGGUAGGUCUGCUGUGAAAACUCGAGGCUCAACCUCGAGACGUCGGCGGAAACCAUCUGGCUAGAGUCCGGAAGAGGAGAGUGGAAUUCCUGGUGUAGCGGUGAAAUGCGCAGAUAUCAGGAAGAACACCCGUGGCGAAGGCGGCUCUCUGGGACGGUACUGACGCUGAGAUGCGAAAGCGUGGGGAGCGAACAGG
rnacentral:rRNA from 1 species